CAGUCGCCGCGGUAAUACGAAGGGUGCAAGCGUUAAUCGGAAUUACUGGGCGUAAAGCGUGCGUAGGCGGUGAGUUAAGUCUGCUGUGAAAUCCCCGGGCUCAACCUGGGAAUGGCAAUGGAUACUGGCAAGCUAGAGUGUGUCAGAGGAUGGUGGAAUUCCCGGUGUAGCGGUGAAAUGCGUAGAGAUCGGGAGGAACAUCAGUGGCGAAGGCGGCCAUCUGGGACAACACUGACGCUGAGGCACGAAAGCGUGGGGAGCAAACAGGAUUAGAUACCCCAGUAGUCCCUGUCUCUUAUAC
rnacentral:rRNA from 1 species